rnacentral:rRNA from 1 species
CCCCUAGUAACUGCGAGUGAAGCGGGAAAAGCUCAAAUUUAAAAUCUGGCGGUCUAUGGCUGUCCGAGUUGUAAUCUAGAGAAGUGUUAUCCGCGCUGGACCGUGUACAAGUCUCCUGGAACGGAGCGUCAUAGAGGGUGAGAAUCCCGUCUUUGACACGGACUCCCAGGGCUUUGUGAUGCGCUCUCAAAGAGUCGAGUUGUUUGGGAAUGCAGCUCUAAAUGGGUGGUAAAUUCCAUCUAAAGCUAAAUAUUGGCGAGAGACCGAUAGCGAACAAGUACCGUGAGGGAAAGAUGAAAAGAACUUUGGAAAGAGAGUUAAACAGUACGUGAAAUUGUUGAAAGGGAAACGCUUGAAGUCAGUCGCGUUGUCCAGGGAUCAACCUUGCUUUUGCUUGGCGCAUUUCCUGGUUGACGGGUCAGCAUCAAUUUCGAUCGAUGGAUAAAGUCCAGGGGAAUGUGGCAUCUUCGGAUGUGUUAUAGCCUUUGGUCGUAUACAUCGGUUGGGAUUGAGGAACUCAGCACGCCGCAAGGCCGGGUUUUUAACCACGUACGUGCUUAGGAUGCUGGCAUAAUGGCUUUAAUCGACCCGUCUUGAAACACGGACCAAGGAGUCUAACAUGCAUGCGAGUGUUUGGGUGGAAAACCCGAGCGCGCAAUGAAAGUGAAAAUUGGGAUCCCUGUCGUGGGGAGCACCGAUGCCCGGACCAGACCUUCUGUGACGGAUCCGCGGUUGAGCAUGUAUGCUGGGACCCGAAAGAUGGUGAACUAUGCCUGAAUAGGGUGAAGCCAGAGGAAACUCUGGUGGAGGCUCGUAGCGAUUCUGACGUGCAAAUCGAUCGUCAAAUUUGGGUAUAGGGGCGAAAGACUAAUCGAACC